rnacentral:rRNA from 1 species
UACAGAGGUCCCAAGCGUUGUUCGGAUUCACUGGGCGUAAAGGGUGCGUAGGCGGUCGGAUAAGUCUGAUGUGAAAUCUUCGAGCUCAACUCGGAAACUGCAUCGGAAACUAUUCGGCUAGAGGAUUGGAGGGGAGACUGGAAUUCUCGGUGUAGCAGUGAAAUGCGUAGAUAUCGAGAGGAACACCAGUGGCGAAGGCGAGUCUCUGGGCAUGACCUGACGCUGAGGAGCGAAAGUGUGGGGAGCGAACAGG